CUCUUUGUUUUGUGUGUUCGGGAAGUGACUGGACGGCCUUCGGAAGCUACCGGCUCGGGUUCUCCACUAUACAAAAUUAUUCAAUGUUUUUGUUUUCUCAUGUUCUGUUUUCCUCUGUAUCGCGUUUUUUUUUCUUUUGCGGUAAUAAUAAUUGUAAUAGAACCAUACUAAUAAUCAAUCAGUAAUAAUUUGAUAAUAAAAUUAGUUAUUUUUUUGCGUUUUCUUCUGCGUUUACUUUCAUUCUAAUAAUAAUUGAUAAUAAUAAUUCAUGUUCCUUCGUCCUUUAUCAAUAAAAUGGCAAAGUUAUUUUUUUUGUAUUUUUUCUUUUAUAAUAUUUUUAACUUGUUUUUCUUAUCUCCUCUGCUAGUUUGUUUACUUUUUUUUAACUAAACAAGUUGUUUUGGCAUUUUAUUCAUUUACUCUUCCUUUUACUCGGCUUCAGUAUUCCUUCUCCGUGCUUUUGUGUUUUUUUCUUCUUUCGUAACGACUUUUCCUUUUUACCUUAAAUAUGUGUUUAAAUAUCUUCCGCCACGAUCUGUUUUUCUUGUUCUUUGUUGCAUCUCGUAGCGUUCAGCUCUUUUCUUCACUUAGUUUUACCGUUUUGUUUCACUUUUCGCUAAUAAGAAUGUAAGUCUCUAAAUCAGCACGGCAACCGCCCUGCCCGAGGCUGAUCCGAGACAUGUUCGUCGUGGUGUUGUUUUGGAUUAUGGUAUGGGUGUGGGAGGUUAUGUGGUGCGCUUCGUCUACAGAGUAGGCGACGAAAAAGAAAUGUUUUUGGGAAAAAACGGACAUCGCUCGAAUCUUGCCGCGGGCAGGGCUUCACCUGCCAAAUGUAGUAUCAAUAUUCCUGUUUUAUCGCAAUUUUUAGUUAAAUUUUUUAUUUAAUUGAUGACAAAAGUUGAUAGAUAUAAUUUGUCUUAAAUAAUAAUUAUUGUAUAUUUAAGUGUGUUUUUCUUGUGUAUAAAGUGUGGUCAAAUAUAGUUGUUUUUUAGUUUUAUUUUUUCUCCUUCUUCAGUACAGAAGUGUUUUUUUUUCUUAUUUGUAUGUGUUCUGUUUGUUUGAAUUAGUUUAAGGUCAAUAUGGGGGACUUUCAUUCGAAAUGAAGCAUUUUUUCUUUUAACUAUUUUGUUAUAUGAUUCCGUUUUGUUUUUUUUUUUGUUUGUUUUUUUCAUAUUUGUGUGUAAUGCUAUUUUUUAUAAUGAUAGUGGCUUAAUGCAUUUCCCUAAAAUUUCUGUUCAUAUUUUUAAGUUUCUUUUCCGUUUUUUUUUCUCUCUCUCUCUAAGGAAAUGUUUCACUUUGUGUUCAAUUUUUAGGAUCUUUUCUGUAUAGUUUAUAUAAUAUGGCUUGCAAUUUGUUUUCACUUGUUUCUCGUCGAUAAUUGAUUAGUACGCUUUUCGUCCGUCCCUCAAAUAUUCCCUUGUAGUUGUGUUUUAUAGUAUUCCGUUGCUAUUGUGUUGAUGUUUUUGAAAUAGUGUGAGUUUUAGCUCACUGGCGAACAGAAAGAGGCGUUUGCUUCGAUGAUGGCUAGCGUACCAUUAGGCUGGAACGAAUGGAUUCUAAUGUUUCGAGUGCACUGAUAUGAAGCAGCUACGAUGGAAGGCUACAAUGUCAGUUGGCUCUUUCUGUACGCUGCGAAUGAGCUGGUUGGUAGGUAUGUUUACGAGUGAGGGCGUGGGAGUGGUGUCUGUGUAAAUGUGUAUCUUUCUGGUGGUGUACGAGUGAUAUACAUUAGGGCAUGCUUGUUUUUUUUUUCUGAUCGAGUACGUAUAAAAUUUUCCUAGAAAUUAAUAUAAUGAAUGUAAGCUGAUUUUCUUUUCUAUUAUUUUACUUUUUAAAAGUUUAUUUUAGAGUUUGCCUGAUAUGACUUCUGAAUAUACUUUUCCUUCCAUUCCACUUCAAUUGUUGGAUGUUGUUCUUAUCGCGUGUGAUGUUCAUAAUUUCAUCAAAUUUCAUUGAAAUUACCUAAUUUCAAGGACUUUUCAUGAAUACUAAGUACUCCUCGUAGGACUUCAAAAUGGAUUUUCUUUCACCAAUACUAGUUCUGCGCUAAAUAAUAGGUCAAUUUAAACUAGUUCCAGUAUUUUUCAUUAAUUUAUAUUUUAUGAUUACUCUAAUACUGUUGUACUUAAAAUUUAGAUCAUAGUUCUUUUUACAUUUGUUUCCUUAGGUUUUUUUCCUUCAAUAUAAAUAAUUUUACUUUUUAUAAAUAUAUACUUUUAUGUACUAUACUCAUUUUCUUCCGCCGUUUUCUUCUUCUUUACUUUACUUAUUUACUUUAUUUUCCAAAUAAAUUCAUAUGUUCUCUUUUACUUCUUUAACUUUAGAGUGUGCUCAAAACUGCAAUUACAUACGCUGGGCUGCGUGGAGAUACAAUCAAAAUUGUUCAACUGAAAAGAGAUAAGAUCAUAGCAGUAGGACAUCAUCGAUCGACUCGGUCUCUCGAACUCGGAGGGAAGGUUGUUCGGGUGAUUGGUGUGGGGGGGGGGGGGGGGUGGUUUGAGUGAAGGUUCAAAAUGAAUAAAGAAGAAAAGGGGGUGGGGCACAAAGAAGCGGUAUUCCGAAGGAACCGACGAGAAUAACUAAGCCGUUUGUUUGGGUUAUGAUUCGUUCGCUUCCAUUCCUUGUUGGUUUUUGCCUUGCGUCUCGUUUUUUUUUAGCAUUGUAAUUAUAUUGAUUUUGUAUGACUUGGCGUGUAUGUUCAAUUGGUUUUAAACAUCAUAUAGCUGCGUGUAUUUUUUUUUCAUAGAAUUAGUACUUUAUCAUGUUUUCUUUGUUUUUGUUUAGAGAAAAUUCUUUGAUUGAAACCAUUGAAAUGGUCGAAUAGAAGGGCAUGUUGCUUGUAUUCGUGCUGUUCUAUCGUGCUGCUGGAUAUUUCGUACAUUGUCAGCAUUUUGUUGGAACGUGUUUUUCCCUUUUUCCUGUCUUUGGCUGUAAUUGCCUUUCCGAUUUUAUUCCCGCUGCGCUAUAAUCUUCAUAUUCUUCUUAAGUCAUGCACAAUCGGCAUUUUUUUUUCUAUGAUGCAUAUACAUGUUUUAAGGCUUCAUUUCAAUUUUUUAAUUAUUUUAUUAUAAUACGAUAUUGUCGCAAUAAUUAAAGUUUUCUUCCAUGUAUGUUUAAAUUACUUUGUUUUCCACCUUUAAGUUAAGUUAUUGUAAGUGAGUGUGAGUGUGUGUAUAUUUUGAAAGUGUUGUGGUGUGAACGGAAGGGGGUUGAUUUUCUACCAGGUUAGAAUUAAAGCAAGUGGCAGAACAAAGGAUGGAGAGCUCCCAGAUUCACUGCAAGGUAUGGUGGCAGAACAAACCACCUGGCAACAGUGGAAAAGAGGACGCCAUUUUGUUUUGGCUUUGUUCAACGUAGUAAUGGUUCAGAAUUCUACUUGUGCGUUGAAAUUUUGAUAUUCGGUUCAGUUUCCUUCGGUUCUUUCGGCGUUCCAAUCAACGCUUUCCAUGGAUGUUGAAGAUUUUCAAAGCCAACUGAGAAACAUUUUUAACUUGACCCUUUUCUGGCGUCAACUUUCCCACUAUCCAGGUAGGUGCAAAACUGCGUCCAACUGGAAAAAAACGACGGUUCGUUUCAAAAAUUUCUCGUUUCAUCUUCAGCCGUGAAAACCAAUGGAAAAAUUUCUCUAAAAAUUUGAUUUAAUUCAGUAGUUGUAUGUUUACUUCUGCUUGUAUUUCUGCCUCAGAUUUACCUCUUUCUUAUACUAAAUAUAUAUGAAGCGUUAAAUAUCGCAUAAUUUACAAUUGUUAUCAUCUCCUCAAUAGUGCUUUACCUUACUGCGGUUGAUUUCCCACCACUUCGGUUCUUUUAUUUUGUUAGUUUUUCUCUCAAAUACUUGUAUAUAUCUAGUAUAUUCUUCAUAAUGCAAAGUGACUGGCAACACUUUUACUUGUUUUUUUUGGUUUCCCUCUAGGUUGGUUUUGUUCAAUAAUUUUAAUACUAAACUUUUUUUGAUAGCUCUAAAAUCGGUAAUAGGUAAAAAUGCGAAAAAAUCGUGCAUAUUUAACGUGUUUUGCCUUUACUUUGUAAUAAUCGGUUUCCAAGGAGAAGAAGUAUGAUCCAAUGAAACGAUGAGGGUGGGAGAUAGGUUGAGGUCAGUGCUUUUUCCAUUUUUUUUUUUCGUUAAUGGUAUAGUUUGAAAUGGGUAGGUCGAACAGAACGAUACCGAAUGUUGGGGACAUUGGAAAAGUUGAAAUGUUUUUUUUUUGUUUUUAAUUAGAGAAGAGAUUUAAUAAUAUGGAUGUGUUUUGUUCUGUAUGCUGCUUUAGUCAGUAUGAUAAUUUUCCGUUAUUUUAUUAAAUUCUUCAAUCGUUAUUGUUUACACUUUUUGUUUUUCUCUUCCUUUCGAAUGUGGUUAUUAGUUAUCAAUUUGUUUAUAGUUGUUUAUCUUAUUUCCUCAUCUCUCAUAUCACAAAACAGAAUAUUCUCCUCUUAAGUACCUUCGCUUUGUCAAACAAUGUUUUUUUUUUCUUGCAAAAAGGAAAAAUGGCUGCUUGGUAUCGUCAAUAAUUUUUUUUUCAUCUAAAUUGUUUUUCAUAUUUUUUUUUCUUUUCAAUAAUAAUAGUUUCGUCAAUCAACAUGUUUUUCUCUAUAAUUGCAAGAAAUACCCUGUAUCCUAUAGUUUAUACAAUGUUUCAUGAAAUAUUUUUCUUGCUUCUCCGCACCAGCAUCCUACAUGCUACAUGUUAGUUUAAUAGGUUGGUUUAGUUUAAUCAUCGCGUCAAAUACUUACUUCCUACUAAGUAUAUGCGUGUGUUGUGUGAAUAAUGUUGCCAAUUCUGAUAAAAAUAAACAACAUCACAAUUGAUAAGCGCGGCAUGUUUUGGGUGCUGCGGUUGCCAAAAAAACCUGAUUUUCAUCUGAAAUGGCAAUACCUUCACGGUGGUUUCAAUCGUGAACUGCAAACUUCGUCUCGCUCAGCUUGCACGUGUAAGCGCAGCACUUUUACUUGUUUUCCGUUGGAUGAAUGUGUGAAUCUGUGUGUCUUUGUUUGAUAAAUAAUAGCAAAGUAAAACUAAUGCAUAAAACGUGUUUAUUUAUUUUGUGUGGGUUGUGAGUAGGUGAAAGCAUUCACGGAAAACCGACAGUGAAAAUUUUUUGACAAAUGGCAAAGAGUGUGCGAGUAGUAGCUUAGCAGUAACAUUUGUGCUUAAGAGGUAAACUACAAAAGAGAGGGUUUGUUUUUGUUCGCUUCGUUAUGAAUUCAGUGGGCGAUGGGUGUGCUCAGAAAGUGCAUGUAGACGUGCUGCGAAGGGCCUAAAAGUAUACAUUAGUUUUUUUGUUUUAUUUUUUUUUUUUUUUUUUUACUCCUAACAAAACUAGCGGUUAAGUGAUAGUGAAGCGAUGGCUGAGUUUUGUUUAGAGGAUAGUUUCUAGCAUUCGAUAGAGGCUUCCGUCAAUCGGAGCGAUUUGAUAGAUUCAACGCAAACUUAGCUUUCGAGUUCAGCUUGAGCUUAAGUAGAUAGUAGGAAAUGAAGAGAAAAAGUUCAGAACAGAAGAUUGUUUUGCUAGCUAGAAGAUGGUUCACUAAUCUAUGGAUGGAUGGCUGGUUGUUUGGAUCACUAGGAUUGAUUCACAUUUGAUGUCGACGGGGCGAUUGCUUCCGAAUGGUGCUGAAGUGUUUCGAGGGCUUUUAUUGUAUUAUAAACGUCUCUGCGCAUAAAACCAAAGGUUGCCAAAUGACAGAAUCUUGCUUACUCUAAAGCCCUUUAGUAGAAGUAUGAUAGACUGUCACCAGGAAACUGAUAUGUUCCAAUUGAACAAAGCAGUACAUUUUGACCGAUCAAUUUCAACGGAUUUUGAUAGACUUUUACUGGUCCGGAGAAGGUUCCUUUUUGGAUAUUACCAGAACAACAUGUGAAAAGGGCAUAUGUGCCAGAUGUGUUGAUAUAUAACCGACGAUUCCUCACGGAUGAGGAUUCAUUCAGGCAAUCCAAAAGCAGAAUCUGAUAAAGGAAGAUUGGCUCAUAUGAGUUUUUCACAUGCUAUUCUAGAAUUAGGCCUAUAUUAUUGAUUUCUAGUCACGGAAACUUGAUGGCAAUGCAUGGCAUCGAAUCCUACCGGUAACGCGUGCUGCGUUAUUCGCUGGUGGCAUCCCAAAUAACAUUAUUGGAUUAGAAUAGAUGUUUAAAACUUACAAUAGUCUAGCAGUUUUACUAGGGAUGUGAUUCUUUGAUACUCUGGUGCCGAAACAUCUUCGGGUUCUGAGAGAUUUUCCAGCUGCUCUGAGCUUUAUGUAGAAAAGUACGAUUAUUUGUGGAUAAUUUUACACCAAAAGCUUCGUUCGUCUUCAACGGUGCCUCGUCGGACAUGAUCAGUUAGCAAACCACAAGUAAUCAUCACUCUACGAUCACUUAAUAUAUGAUUCAAAACUGCUCAUCACAUGUCCGCUAGAAACAAUCUUAAGAACUUGGACUUUUAUGAGAAUCUGUAUUUUGUCAAUGUUGAUCAUCACAACAAGUAUUGGUGCUGGAACUAGUAGAGAAGUUGCCAGGAACCAUGAGCAUGGAUCGGUCUACAUUGAAGAGUCAGCGACUUUGCGUAAAAGUUCUCGGGGAUUUCCUGGAAUUUAAACCCAGGCAACAGUUUUCGUUUUCUAAGGUUUUAUAGGUAGAUCAUUAUUUAGGAUUGCAGAAUGCUUCAAAACCACCAUUAAAUUUGAAAUGUUGCUUAGGUACUGAAGCAAGUUUUGGACAUCCAGGGUAUUUGAAAGUUUCGAGAGUCAAAUUGGUCAACGCGGUUCAUUCCCCUAAACGUAGUCAUCAUUCAAAAUCGAUCAACUCGCAACUUGCUGUCAUUUCGCUGUCCAAAGUUCUUAGUGGUUUUGCUUGUUUUCGGUAGCUGUAUCUGGAGAUAUUAGGUUGGUAGGUUCGGCUGCUUCAUCUCGCCCUGCGAUGUCAGGGAGAUAUAUUUGCAAAUCAAGCUCAAAGCUACGGUCUGAAGAGUGUAGGUGUAUGUAUUCUGCAACAUCAAGUCUUGCGGAGCUAAGUCAUGGAUAUUACUAUCUUUAGUAACACUUUUGUUGUAAAACAGUUAUUAUCAAGUCGCUGCAACUUUUCUUGACAGAAUUGUUCUCUUUGCGAUAUUAGGCUCCUACUUUAGCACAGUAUGUGAAGAACUUGUAUAGGACCAUCACUACGCGGAAAACUACUUAGAAAACUUCAUGUCGAUUUACGAAACUGUGGAUGCGGUUAAUGAACUAAAGCUCGUCCAUUCCAACCCAGGCAGAAGAAAAUAACUUAUGACUAUCUAAUUCUGACCUGAUACCAACCUUUGGUGUUGAUCAGCUUGACAUAAGAGGUAAAAUACCGAAGAAUAAUACCAAAAAAUUUCAUGCAAAUUACUUUGAAAGUCACAAACAUUGAUAUUUGGAUACCAAAAGAAUACUUGUGUGGUAUUGUUUUGGUAUUUCAUUUGCGUAAUUUGCUAUUGGAAUGGUAUUGUGGGACAUUUUUUAGUAUUUAACCUCACGUCACGCUAAUCCACACCAAUUUAAGGUAUCGAGAUAUUCGUUCCUGCUCGGGAAGGGUGGAUUCAAAACACGAAAUUUUCUAUUCAACGGAGAAGAAAUGUUGAAUCGGAGAAGCAGAACCAGCAAUCUCGAAGGAUUUCGCUCUUAUACACGUGGGAAAACAACUGAAUAUGUGCUCGGUUUGAAAUAUGUGUGGAAUUUGUGUCGUAUUUCCUUGUAAACCAGAAGUACUUAAGGGCAACAAGAGUCGAACGUAGAACUGUAAACUCAUUGGCAAUUUUGGACGCAUUACUUUCCUCAGUAGAAUACACUGUAAAAAUAUGAAUGGAAACGUCACUCAAGUCACAGCCAUUUUCAUAGAACUUCGCGUUCAGAUAGAGUUCCACGUGUUCGUCAACAGUAACGAUUCUGCUUACGUUUGCGUAGCAUACUGUUGAUUUAAAAAAUUAUUCGGAAUGCAGGUGCCACCCAUCAGUGUUUAGAUAAACGUCCCCGUAGUCUACGCUCUGUUAACUAAACGUCUUGAAUUAAAGGCUGCAAGCGUGGGAAUCCAAAUUUUCGAGUCCAUACAUAAAUUACACAAGUUGGAGAGUUCUCUAAAGUAACAACUCUGUCCUGGUCAAACCAUCCUCGUUACUACUUGCACAUCGGAGAGAUUCUGACGGCAACUGACGCACGCGAGUGACGAUGAGUUUCCUCCGAAAUUAACCCGUUGACAUUGCCAACAAAUGGACAGAUGGAUUAAACUUUCUACCACUAAUCCAUAGUUUUGCGGUCCUGAGUUGCAUGCAAAUGCAUGAAAUAUCGAUCUGCUUCGUCGGUUGAUGGAAACUUGGGUCACCUUCAAAUGAGAGACGUUUGAAAUCACUCAAUUGAAUUGAAUGGAACUCUGGUUGACAUUCUGACGAAAAACCUGAAUUGGGUUCUUUAAUUUUGAAAAAUAUAUCGGUUUUUAUAUAUCAUCUGAAAGAGCUUCGUUUUCUGAGCACAGCGAUAUUUUUUUACGAACCCACAAACUUUCAUCUCGAUUUUUAAAUCAAGAUUUAAAGCAAAAUAACAACUUCACUGUUUGACACUAAACUGACAAACUGACAGCUCGCUCCCAUACAAAGUGACACCGAGGGGCGCUAAUGAGGUGAUUUUUGCAAAUGUAAUCGUUCUUAUUUAAAAUAGUUCCAGUGUACCAAAAUUGAUGAAAUUUUGGGUUUGGGUUCCAUUUUUAAUGCAGAUUACGAAUAUGCAUUUACCUCAAUACCCUUAAAGAACCCAAUUAAUCUGGAAUCAACUAGACUUCCAACAGACAUCAACCCAUCAUUGACUUUGGUCCGAUAUUGACUCAAUAUUGAGUCAUUCAUUAUCCGAUUAGGAUGUCUAUUCUGAAGCAUUUUCUGGUUUUAUCACUGCCAUACAUCAAUUAUGUUCAAUAUGGGUAUUGAGGUGAAUGCAUAUUCGUU